rnacentral:rRNA from 1 species
GACGAACGCUGGCGGCGUGCCUAAUACAUGCAAGUUGAGCGCUGAAGGUUGGUACUUGUACCAACUGGAUGAGCAGCGAACGGGUGAGUAACGCGUGGGGAAUCUGCCUUUGAGCGGGGGACAACAUUUGGAAACGAAUGCUAAUACCGCAUAAAAACUUUAAACACAAGUUUUAAGUUUGAAAGAUGCAAUUGCAUCACUCAAAGAUGAUCCCGCGUUGUAUUAGCUAGUUGGUGAGGUAAAGGCUCACCAAGGCGAUGAUACAUAGCCGACCUGAGAGGGUGAUCGGCCACAUCGGGACUGAGACACGGCCCAAACUCCUACGGGAGGCAGCAGUAGGGAAUCUUCGGCAAUGGACGAAAGUCUGACCGAGCAACGCCGCGUGAGUGAAGAAGGUUUUCGGAUCGUAAAACUCUGUUGGUAGAGAAGAACGUGGGUGAGAGUGGAAAGCUCAUCAAGUGACGGUAACUACCCAGAAAGGGACGGCUAACUACGU